UACAGAGGUCCCAAGCGUUGUUCGGAUUCAUUGGGCGUAAAGCGUCCGCAGGUGGCUAGACAAGUCUGCUGUCAAAGACUGGAGCUCAACUCCGGGCAGGCGGUGGAAACUGUCGAGCUAGAGUACGGUAGGGGUAGAGGGAAUUCCCAGUGUAGCGGUGAAAUGCGUAGAGAUUGGGAAGAACACCAGUGGCGAAGGCGCUCUACUGGGGCGUAACUGACGCUCAGGGACGAAAGCUAGGGGAGCGAAAGGG
rnacentral:rRNA from 1 species